AUACUAACAAUAGAGCAGAGAGCAAAUCAUGAGUGAGCUGCCAUUCACAAUUGCUACAAAGAGAAUAAAAUACCUAGGAAUACAACUAACAAAGGAUAUGAAAGACCUCUUCAAGCAGAACUCCAAACCACUGCUCAAGGAAAUAAAAACGGACACA